AGAGUUUGAUCCUGGCUCAGGAUGAACGCUGGCGGCGUGCUUAACACAUGCAAGUCGAACGGGGAACAUUUUAUUGAAGCUUCGGCAGAUCUAGCUUGUUCCUAGUGGCGGACGGGUGAGUAACGCGUGGGUAACCUGCCUCACACUGGGGGAUAACAGUCAGAAAUGGCUGCUAAUACCGCAUAAGCGCACAGUACCGCAUGGUACGGUGUGAAAAACUCAGGUGGUGUGAGAUGGACCCGCGUUGGAUUAGCUAGUUGGCAGGGCAGCGGCCUACCAAGGCGACGAUCCAUAGCCGGCCUGAGAGGGUGAACGGCCACAUUGGGACUGAGACACGGCCCAGACUCCUACGGGAGGCAGCAGUGGGGAAUAUUGCACAAUGGGGGAAACCCUGAUGCAGCGACGCCGCGUGAAGGAAGAAGUAUCUCGGUAUGUAAACUUCUAUCAGCAGGGAAGAAAAUGACGGUACCUGACUAGAAGCCCCGGCUAACUACGUGCCAGCAGCCGCGGUAAUACGUAGGGGGCAAGCGUUAUCCGGAUUUACUGGGUGUAAAGGGAGCGUAGACGGUGUUGCAAGUCUGAUGUGAAAUCUAUGGGCUCAACCCAUAAACUGCAUUUGAAACUGUAGAGCUUGAGUGAAGUAGAGGCAGGCGGAAUUCCCCGUGUAGCGGUGAAAUGCGUAGAGAUGGGGAGGAACACCAGUGGCGAAGGCGGCCUGCUGGGCUUUAACUGACGCUGAGGCACGAAAGCGUGGGUAGCAAACAGGAUUAGAUACCCUGGUAGUCCACGCUGUAAACGAUGAUUAC
rnacentral:rRNA from 1 species